rnacentral:rRNA from 1 species
GACGAACGCUGGCGGCGUGCUUAACACAUGCAAGUCGAACGGAAAGGCGCUGCUUUUGUGGGGUGCUCGAGUGGCGAAGGGGUGAGUAACACGUGAGUAACCUGCCCUUGACUGUGGGAUAACUUCAGGAAACUGGGGCUAAUACCGCAUAGGAGCUCCUGCUGCAUGGUGUGGGUUGGAAAGUUUCGGCGGUGGUGGCUGGACUAGCGGCUUAUCAGCUUGUUGGUGGGGUAGGGGCUUACAAAGCCUUUGACGGGUAGCCGGCCUGAGAGGGUUGACGGCCACCUUGGGACUGAGAUACGGCCCAGACUCCUACGGGAGGCAGCAGUGGGGAAUAUUGCACAAUGGGCGGAAGCCUGAUGCAGCAACGCCGCGUGCGGGAUGACGGCCUUCGGGUUGUGAACCGCUUUCGCCUGUGACGAAGCGUGAGUGACGGUAAUGGGUAAAGAAGCACCGGCUAACUACGUG